rnacentral:rRNA from 1 species
GACGAACGCUGGCGGCGCGCUUAACACAUGCAAGUCGAACGGAAAGGCCUGCUUUCCCUUGUGGAUUGCGGGUACUCGAGUGGCGAACGGGUGAGUAACACGUGAGUGAUCUGCCCCCAACUUGGGUAUAAGCCUGGGAAACUGGGUCUAAUUCCCGAUAGGACUGCAGGGUGGUGCCUGUGGUGGAAAACGAUUUUCUAGUGGUUGGGGAUGAGCUCGCGGCCUAUCAGCUUGUUGGUGGGGUAAUGGCCUACCAAGGCGGCGACGGGUAGCCGGCCUGAGAGGGUGGACGGCCACAUUGGGACUGAGAUACGGCCCAGACGCCUACGGGAGGUAGCAGUGGGGAAUAUUGCACAAUGGGCGGAAGCCUGAUGCAGCGACGCCGCGUGGGGGAUGACGGCCUUCGGGUUGUAAACUCCUUUCGACCGCGAGGAAGCCACCUGGUUGGAAGGGUGGUGACGGUAGUGGUAGAAGAAGCACCGGCUAACUACGUG